ACUCCUACGGGAGGCAGCAGUAGGGAAUCUUCCGCAAUGGGCGAAAGCCUGACGGAGCAACGCCGCGUGAGUGAUGAAGGUCUUCGGAUCGUAAAACUCUGUUAUUAGGGAAGAACAAAUNUGUAAGUAAACUAUGCACGNCUUGACGGUACCUAAUCAGAAAGCCAACGGCUAACUACGUGCCAGCAGCCGCGGUAAUACGUAGGUGGCAAAGCGUUAUCCGGAAUUAUUGGGCGUAAAGCGCGCGUAGGCGGUUUUUUAAGUCUGAUGUG
rnacentral:rRNA from 1 species